AUUGAACGCUGACGGCAGGCCUAACACAUGCAAGUCGAGCGGAUGAGUGGAGCUUGCUCCAUGAUUCAGCGGCGGACGGGUGAGUAAUGCCUAGGAAUCUGCCUGGUAGUGGGGGACAACGUUUCGAAAGGAACGCUAAUACCGCAUACGUCCUACGGGAGAAAGCAGGGGACCUUCGGGCCUUGCGCUAUCAGAUGAGCCUAGGUCGGAUUAGCUAGUAGGUGAGGUAAUGGCUCGCCUAGGCGACGAUCCGUAACUGGUCUGAGAGGAUGAUCAGUCACACUGGAACUGAGACACGGUCCAGACUCCUACGGGAGGCAGCAGUGGGGAAUAUUGGACAAUGGGCGAAAGCCUGAUCCAGCCAUGCCGCGUGUGUGAAGAAGGUCUUCGGAUUGUAAAGCACUUUAAGUUGGGAGGAAGGGCAGUAAGUUAAUACCUUGCUGUUUUGACGUUACCAACAGAAUAAGCACCGGCUAACUUCGUGCCAGCCGCCGCGGUAAAAC
rnacentral:rRNA from 1 species